GAUGAACGCUGGCGGCGUGCCUAAUACAUGCAAGUCGAGCGGACGGACGAGAAGCUUGCUUUUCUGAUGUUAGCGGCGGACGGGUGAGUAACACGUGGAUAACCUACCUAUAAGACUGGGAUAACUUCGGGAAACCGGAGCUAGUACCGGAUAAUAUUUUGAACCGCAUGGUUCAAAAGUGAAAGACGGUCUUGCUGUCACUUAUAGAUGGAUCCGCGCUGCAUUAGCUAGUUGGUAAGGUAACGGCUUACCAAGGCAACGAUGCAUAGCCGACCUGAGAGGGUGAUCGGCCACACUGGAACUGAGACACGGUCCAGACUCCUACGGGAGGCAGCAGUAGGGAAUCUUCCGCAAUGGGCGAAAGCCUGACGGAGCAACGCCGCGUGAGUGAUGAAGGUCUUCGGAUCGUAAAACUCUGUUAUUAGGGAAGAACAUAUGUGUAAGUAACUGUGCACAUCUUGACGGUACCUAAUCAGAAAGCCACGGCUAACUACGUG
rnacentral:rRNA from 1 species